CUCGUAGGCGGCCAACUAAGUCAGACGUGAAAUCCCUCGGCUUAACCGGGGAACUGCAUCUGAUACUGGAUGGCUUGAGAUUGGGAGAGGGAUGCGGAAUUCCAGGUGUAGCGGUGAAAUGCGUAGAUAUCUGGAGGAACACCGGUGGCGAAGGCGGCAUCCUGGACCAACACUGACGCUGAGGAGCGAAAGCCGAGGGGAGCGAAACG
rnacentral:rRNA from 1 species